rnacentral:rRNA from 1 species
CCCGACUGCUAUUUGGGUGAGGAUAAGCCAUGCGAGUUGAAUGGGAAACCUAAAAAUCCCAUGGCAAACUGCUCAGUAACACAUGAUCAACUUACCCUAUAGAGGAAAAUAACCUCGGGAAACUGAGGAUAAUGUUCCAUAGUUGAAUCGACUUGGAAAAGUUUUUCAAUAAAAGGGAUAAGGAAAAUGGUUCUUAUCUGCUAUAGGAUAGGAUCGUGCUCGAUUAUGGUUGUUGGUGAGGUAAAGGCUCACCAAGCCGAUAAUCGAUAGGGGCCGUGAGAGCGGGAGCCCCGAGAUGGGUACUGAGACAACGACCCAGCCUUACGAGGCGCAGCAGGCGCGAAACCUCCGCAAUACACGAAAGUGUGACGGGGUUACCCAAAGUGUUCUAUUUAGAACUGUGGUAGUGAGUAAUGUCCCUACUAGAAGGAGAGGGCAAGGCUGGUACCAGCCGCCGCGGUAAAACCAGCUCUUCAAGUGGUCGGGAUAAUUAUUGGGCUUAAAGUGUCCGUAGCCGGUUUAGUAAGUUCCUGGUAAAAUCGGGUAGCUUAACUAUCUAUAUGCUAGGAAUACUGCUAUACUAGAGGGCGGGAGAGGUCUGAGGUACUACAGGGGUAGGGGUGAAAUCUUAUAAUCCUUGUAGGACCACCAGUGGCGAAGGCGUCAGACUGGAACGCGCCUGACGGUGAGGGACGAAAGCCAGGGGAGCGAACCGGAUUAGAUACCCGGGUAGUCCUGGCCGUAAACGAUGCAUACUAGGUGAUGGCACGGCCAUGAGCCGUGUCAGUGCCGUAGGGAAACCGUUAAGUGUGCCGCCUGGGAAGUACGGUCGCAAGGCUAAAACUUAAAGGAAUUGGCGGGGGAGCACCACAAGGGGUGAAGCCUGCGGUUC